rnacentral:rRNA from 1 species
GUGCCAGCCGCCGCGGUAAUACGGGGGGUGCGAGCGUUAAUCGGAAUAACUGGGCGUAAAGGGCACGCAGGCGGUUGUUUAAGUGAGGUGUGAAAGCCCCGGGCUUAACCUGGGAAUUGCAUUUCAGACUGGACAACUAGAGUACUUUAGGGAGGGGUAGAAUUCCACGUGUAGCGGUGAAAUGCGUAGAGAUGUGGAGGAAUACCGAAGGCGAAGGCAGCCCCUUGGGAAUGUACUGACGCUCAUGUGCGAAAGCGUGGGGAGCAAACAGGAUUAGAUACCCUGGUAGUCCACGCCGUAAACGCUGUCGAUUUGGGGAUUGGGGUUUAACUCUGGUGCCCGUAGCUAACGUGAUAAAUCGACCGCCUGGGGAGUACGGCCGCAAGGUUAAAACUCAAAGGAAUUGACGG